AUGUGGAUUGUGGGAGAUGUAGUUGUUGUAGCAACGUGAUCACGUUGCUCUUUACAUUAAAGACAGUUUUGGUCGUUUAGAGUCUAAAGGACCAAAAUUGUCUUUAAUGUAAUUAAAUAAUAAAGACACUUUAAGUUAAUAAAUGCUUACUGGCAUAAUGUUAACACAUCCCACGAGGGUAAUAAUCACAGACUUCUUUUUCUUUCUCACAAAAUACCAAAAGUGGAUCAGAUAUUGCCGUCACUGGUCUUUUAAAUAAGAUAAUCCAGCAUCUGGCUAACAAGAAGAAGACCAACAAGACGAGUCACAUCUGGAGGAAAAGGUGGGGGGAGAGAAAAGCGGGUGAGUCUCGGUCCUCAGAGGUUUUACAACACGGACCAUCAGCUCCACGAAUGGGACUAGCUGUAACCUCCACGCUGUUCUUGCUGAUGUCCCUGGAAGCAAAUAUAAAACAUGGCUCUCCUGAGAAAAAUCAAUCGGAUCCUGCUGGUGCUGCUGGUGCUGAUGGUGUGCCUCCUCCUGCGCAGUACACUGCUCAGAGCCUCCACUCGGCCAAGACUCUCAGAGAACAGGAAAAGCCCCAAGAAUUCAGGACAAGUUUCUCUGGAACACGCUGCAGAAGCGCAUGAUGUCGUGCCUGUUGUCAUCUGUGCAUCUGAGGAGCGCAUGGGUGCAUCCAUGGCAACCAUCAACAGCAUCAUCAGCAACACAGACGCCAGUGUUUUCUUCUACGUUGUUACUCUUCGUGAUGCUGUCAAACUCACGAGGAGGUACAUAGAGAAGACAAAACUCAAAGGCAUCCGCUACAAGAUAGUGGAAUUUAAUCCGAUGGUCCUUGUUGGAAAAGUGAAGCCAGAUUCAUCUCGACCUGAUCUCUUACAUCCUCUCAACUUUGUGCGGUUUUACCUGCCUCUGCUCGACAUCCUCCACAAGAGGGUUAUAUACUUAGAUGAUGACAUCAUCGUGCAGGGUGACAUCAGGGAUCUGUUUGAUAUCAAACUGAAGCCAGGACACGCGGCUGCUUUCGCCACAGACUGCGACCUUCCCUCCACACACGAGAUGGUGCGCAGCAUCGGCAUGCAGACAACCUACAUGGGCUUCCUGGACUACAGGAAACAGGAAGUGAAAGACCUGGGCAUCAACCCCAGCGACUGCUCUUUCAACCCUGGAGUGUUUGUGGCAGAUUUGAACGAGUGGAAGAAGCAGAAGAUCACCAAAGAGCUGGAGAAGUGGAUGGAGGAGAAUUUCAGACAAAACAUAUACAGCAGUGCCAUGGCAGGGGGCGUGGCAACUCCACCCAUGCUAAUCGUGUUUCAUGACAAAUACACGAUACUGGACCCUGUGUGGCACGUCAGGCACCUGGGGUGGAGUCCGGAUGUCCAUUACCCUGAGAACUUCCUCCAGGGGGCGCACCUCCUGCACUGGAACGGCCCGUUCAAACCCUGGAACUACCCUGCUGUGCAUUUAGAUCGCUGGGAGAAGUGGUUCAUCCCAGACCCCUCUGGAAGGUUCUCUUUGGAACGUCCUGACCACGACAGCUGAGGUCUGCGGCACCAAGGACCGGUCAGAGGGUCACGUGACACACGCUUACAGUGACGGGGUGAAAGAAUAAAUCCAUGAAUGUAACACUGAAGAACAGCCAGACGCCAAACUGUGACCAGUCUAAAGAAUGUCUGUAACUGGUAACACUCACAGGCUGGGUGUAUGUGCUGGAAAGAAGACAAGGACUUUGAAGUAUCCCUCCCCUUCACACCUCCUGCAGUCUGCUGAAUGAUUUUUCUGGACGUUGGGAGCUUGCACCUAAUACGUCAGAGGUCUCUUCAGGAACACAAAACCCACGUCCAUCUGAUCCUCCAGCGCAUCUUGGAAAACCGACUCUGCGUCAAAUGCUGAAAUAAAGUAUGAUGUGAGAGACUGGGAACUGCUGGCCAUCAAGUUGGCUCUAGACAAGUGGAUGCACUGGUUGGAGGAACAGCCCUUUAUCAUCUGGACGAACCACAAAAACCUCUCAUACCUACACCUAGCGAAAAGACUGAACAAGUGUCAAGCCAGACAAUUCUUCUCCCCAGACGGUACCUCAGAGGAAGAAACCAUCUUGCCUCCGUCCUGUGUUAUUGCCUUUUUGACUUGGCAAACUGAGACCUUGGUCCGGAAGGCUCAGAGGAGGGAACCAGAUCCAGGUCCAGGUCCAUAUCCAGAUAUAGAUCCAGAACUAGUUCCAGUGUACAACCUAAUUGGCUCUAUGUACCCACAAAUGUCUGCUCUAGGAUAAUCCACUGGGCCCAAACAGCUAAGUUCAUGUGUCAUCCCAGCAACAAUUGAACAAUAUCUUUUCUACAACGUCAGUUCUGGUUGCUGUCUUUGGCCAAACACGUUUGUGAGUAUGUCCUUGCUUGUCCAGCUUGGACCUAGAAUAAGCUAUCCAGCUUGCUAUUCACUGGGCUGUUCAGACCAUUUUUAACUCCUAGUUGCCCAUGGUCCCAAAUCGCAUUGGAUUUCAUCAUUGGCCUUCCUCCCUCAUCAGAUAAUACAGUCUACUCACCAUCAUUGGCCGGUUAUCUCAAGUUGCCCACAUUGUAGCUCUGCCUAAACUUCCAUUCGCCCUAGAAACAGUCUAGUUACUCACCAAGCAUGUUUUCAGGUUAUAUGGCAGGCAGGAUGGACUCAAGUGCAGACUGCGAAUUAAAGUUAAACAGUUCAUUAUUUACAACAUCACGUGUUAUAUAUACAAAGUGGAGAGAAUGGUCCAGGGUUCCAGGGAUCCACGGGUAGGUAGGGGAAAUAGGUGCUCCACACUCACACGUUGAUCCACACUACUCUUGCUCUGCUCCGAGAUCCACUCCACACUGCACAAACACGCCACACCAAACUGCCAGACAAUCACGCUCAGGUAUCCAGGAAAACAGGGGUUACUUUUCUGCUUUUUUAUGUCCAAAGUUAUAGCUUUGUCAUAGAUUUUAGCUUUUCACUCAUCUUUAGGUGACAUCUUUAGGUGUUAGCUAGCAUGCUAAGGCUACUUCCAGACUAAUGCAUUUUCGUUUGAAAACGCAUCGUUUUCUCUCCGUUUUGGCCUAUCGUCCACACUGAGACGGCGUUUUCCUCAAGAAAAAACGCAGCGUUUUGGAAACGCUCUCGAAAACGCAUACAUUUCAAAACGGAGCUGUCCCAUCGCAGUGUGGAUGCUUGAAAACGUAGACUUUCUAAAACUAUGACGCAUUUUAGUCAUGUGAUGCAGUCAUGUGACCAAUUAAACAAAGACAGUGGAGUGCAUUAUAUAGCAGUUGUUUUGAUUGCUCUCAAUUUUGACUGCCCUAAAAAAGAUCAAUUAGCAUGUACAAACUGAUUAAUAUCAGUUUGUACAUGCUCCAGAUAGCUUUUCUUCAAAUUCUUUAAUUCUCACUCGCUUUUGCGCAUGCGCAGGACUGGAACGUAAGUGUUUUCGGCCGUUUCAGUGUGGACGCACAACUCUGUGAAAACAACUGAAAACGCUAGUGUGGAAGCGGAGCGUUUUCAGACGAAAACGCCGUUUUCAAAUCUAUCCGGGCUAGUGUGGACGUAGCCUAAGUUAGUGCUAACCUCUAACUUUGUAACCUCGAACACUCAACCUCGUGAAAUUUUCGUGGAUGCUACACUGUGUUGUAAUACCUGUGAAAAUAGCUACAUUAAUUUUAUUGGAGCAGAAAUAAUGUAAUGUAAAUAAUCUUCUUUUGGCUGCUCCAUCUCAGGGCCUCCAUCUCAAUCUGUCUCCAGCAUCCUUCUCCUCCACACCAACCUAUCCAUUUAUUUUCUGUCUGGUCUUCCUCUUUUCCUCUUGACUGGAAGUCACGUUUAAAAUCCUUUGUCCAGUAAAUCCACUGUCCCUCCUCUGCACAUGUUUAAACCAUCUCAGCUUGCCUCUCUAACGUUGUCUCCAAACCACUCAAACUGAGCCAUCUCUCUGAUGUACUCAUUUCUAAUCUGGUCCAUUCUGAUCACUCUCAUUGAAAAUCUUAGCUACUUCAGUUCUGCUCUGUGUCUUUUUGUUAGUGGCACAGUGGGCCAUCUUGUAAAUCUUCCCUUUUCACUCUCUUGUGUUAUCAAUCAUGCCUGACAUUUUUUUCCACCCACUCCAUCCUGCCUGCACCUCUUCUUCACCUCCCUUGUGCACUGCCCAUUGCUUUGGAUGCUUGAACCCAGAUAUUUACAAUCACCAACUUCAUUGCCUCUGCGUAAAUAAUAUGAAACAUUAUUAACUCUCAGUCAUGCUUCAGUGUUUCUUCUUUGAGAGCUGAAAAAAGGAUUUGGACGUCAGA